UACAGAGGUCUCAAGCGUUGUUCGGAUUCAUUGGGCGUAAAGGGUGUGUAGGUGGCGCGCUAAGUCGGGUGUGAAAUUUCGGAGCUUAACUCCGAAACUGCAUUCGAUACUGGCGUGCUCGAGGACUGGAGAGGAGACUGGAAUUCAUGGUGUAGCAGUGAAAUGCGUAGAGAUCAUGAGGAAGACCAGUGGCGAAGGCGGGUCUCUGGGCAUUAACUGACGCUGAGGAGCGAAAGCAUGGGGAGCGAACAGG
rnacentral:rRNA from 1 species